rnacentral:misc_RNA from 1 species
UGGCAAUGGAAUUUUCCUUAUCCGCCGUUCAAAUCAUAAACGACGUCGUAAUGUCUGCACCCCCCUUCCAUAUUAUUCGGCGGGAUGCGAAGCUCACAAGUCGCACCGUGAUAAAUGAUCACAGGUGCAUCUAUCACCGUUGUUCUAUAUCAUAUACUCUCACUGUGAGAGGUCCCAAUCGCAUCUCAGCCGCCAAAAUAAUCUCCAACCAAAAGGAAAAACUCAACUCCGAGUGGGGCCUAUUUCGCUUUUCAAUUAAGCAGCAGGGUUCAGCGUUUUUGUUGGGUAAAUUAUAACUAUGUAGACUGUACUAUUUCCAGUUAUCUGUAAUUGUUCUUUAUUAGGUAAAUUAUGCUUCUCGAUUCUUUCUUAAUUUUGAGUAUUGCUGUUUCUAGUUAAUUUUUUACAAUUCCGUAGAGUACCAGAGAUUGAAUAAGACAGGAUUUUUCUAAUGCCAACUUCAAGUUUCCUGAUUACAUCUUGUUGCCAUUGCAUUUGUAAUGCAGCAAUCCUGUUAAUUGAUUGCUUAAAUUGGCUUGUGUUCCCUUUUUGUAGCAGUGUCAGAAUGACUGUGUCUGGACUAACGGGUAGUCCCUCAAGGUGUCGUCUCUGGAUAACUUUAAAUGGCCCAGGGUCAUUUUGCAGGCGAACCUAAAGAUAAACCAAACUUUCUUCGUCUACAUAGAUGCUAUCGGGUUGGUUCUGUAAAAUGAUGCAACCCACCUGCUCAACUGUGCAAUGGAUGCUUCCUGUAGCGGUGACACGACAGAUGAUCAACCUGUGAUGGAGCUUUUAUUUUCUCAUGGCUGUUGGGAAUCUUCUUGAUGUUAUCUGUGAUUCCACCAUUGCCUUCUAUUAAAGGACGUUAUCUGUGAUUCCACCAUUGCCUUCUAUUAAAGGACUUUGUGAUUUUUGAAGCUACUUCGUUGAUAACUUAUGUGCUACUCUGGGUUUCAUCUUCCUAUCUGAAAUAACGCCAAUUUUCUCCUAGUACAAGAUUGCAUUGCAAGACCUCAAUAUUGUUAUGAGCGGUCAGUGGUUUAUCAAUCUCACAUUUUUCACUUUAAGUUGCAACAUCUUCGCAACUGCAAUAUUUGUGGAAAUGACUGUUUUGCUGUUUAGAGAAAGGAUGUAAAACUAGAUGAAAGUAAAAGAUCAGUUUAUGCAUUUAUUUCAUGGUUUCUUGCUUUCUCCUUCCAUAUCUUUAUGAUUAUAAUUAUUAUUUUGUUCUCAUCCUGUGGUCUAGCUUUAUAUUGUGCUUGAAGCAGUGAGUUUCAUUGCUGGUUGUGAAGCCACUUGCUUGGUUGGGGGAAUCAUCUUAUGCACGUGCUUCGGAUGUGGGGCUAGAUUUGCUAUAGAAGAUCUUUAUGGACCAACGUUGGACCCUCCUUCCAUGUCUUAUCGAGUGAUUUGCUCUAUGGUCUUCACUUGAGCCACAAUUUAUUAUUUUACAGGCACUGAAUUGUGAGAUCGUGUAGCGUGAUGGCCCCCGGUGUUUCAUGCACCACAACCGUAGGUUGUGAAUGCUAGCCUUUUGCGUACCAUCUUUGACGGUGUCAAUUUCAUUGUUUCGGUCCAUCAAUUGCUUUAUUUUUGUAGUCAGAACUAAUCAAUGACUUAAUUUCCAUUCCAUGAUGAAGGCUAAAUAAAUGAUGAUAGAAUAAUUAUUAUUCAA